rnacentral:rRNA from 1 species
UACGGGGGGGGCAAGCGUUGUUCGGAAUUACUGGGCGUAAAGGGCUCGUAGGCGGCCAACUAAGUCAGACGUGAAAUCCCUCGGCUUAACCGGGGAACUGCGUCUGAUACUGGAUGGCUUGAGAUUGGGAGAGGGAUGCGGAAUUCCAGGUGUAGCGGUGAAAUGCGUAGAUAUCUGGAGGAACACCGGUGGCGAAGGCGGCAUCCUGGACCAACACUGACGCUGAGACGCGAAAGCGUGGGGAGCGAACGGG